rnacentral:rRNA from 1 species
UACAGAGGGUGCUAGCGUUGUUCGGAAUCAUUGGGCGUAAAGGGCGUGUAGGCGGUUUGUUAAGUCAUGUGUGAAAUCCCUCGGCUCAACCGGGGAACGACGCAUGAAACUGGCAAGCUAGAGUACCAAAGAGGGGGGUGGAAUUCCCGGUGUAGCGGUGAAAUGCGUAGAUAUCAGGAAGAACACCUAUGGCGAAGGCGGUCUGCUGGGCGGUGGGUCCGCGAGGAUCCGAAUAGCCGACACUGAGGCGCGACAGCGUGGGGAGCAAACAGG